CUAAUCUAAUACUUCGAUGUCAACUUGUUAGAUCAAGCAAUGAUGGCCCAUUGAGAGGGCAAUUUAUAGUAGUCUUGUGCCAUGAUAUGAUGUAUAGGGUCUUUUGAAGAAGGAAAAUUAUAACAGAUUGCCUUAAUUGUACAGUGAUAAUCUCUGGGGGCGGACUGACUGGGAUUAUCAGCCAUGCCACAGUUUGGGAAGGAAAAUUUCUUUCUUUCAAGGAUAGACUGGCUGAUUAAUUCUACUCUAAAAGCCAUGACACGGCUUUAUAUGUCGCUUUUGAAGCUACAGUAUUGGGUUGUCAAAAUAUUGAUGCUAUUAGAAAAGCCUUAAUUUGGAAAGGUUUUGAAACCACUUACAUAACAUCCUGCA
rnacentral:lncRNA from 1 species